CAGCAGCCGCGGGAAUACGAAGGGGGCUAGCGUCGUUCGGAUUUACUGGGCGUAAAGCGCACGUAGGCGGACUUUUAAGUCAGGGGUGAAAUCCCGGGGCUCAACCCCGGAACUGCCUUUGAUACUGGAAGUCUUGAGUAUGGUAGAGGUGAGUGGAAUUCCGAGUGUAGAGGUGAAAUUCGUAGAUAUUCGGAGGAACACCAGUGGCGAAGGCGGCUCACUGGACCAUUACUGACGCUGAGGUGCGAAAGCGUGGGGAGCAAACAGGAUUAGAGACCCCGGUAGUCCCUGUCUCUUAUAC
rnacentral:rRNA from 1 species